GAGCGAGAAAGUGGAGCAAUCCAUGAGUACAGCGGCGCACGGGUGAGUAACACGUGACUAACCUACCCUCGAGUGGGGAAUAACUUCGGGAAACCGAGGCUAAUACCGCAUAAUACCCACGGGUCAAAGGAGAAAUCCGCUUGAGGAGGGGGUCGCGGCCGAUUAGUUAGUUGGCGGGGUAAUGGCCCACCAAGACGAUGAUCGGUAUCCGGCCUGAGAGGGCGCACGGACACACUGGAACUGACACACGGUCCAGACUCCUACGGGAGGCAGCAGUGGGGAAUUUUGCGCAAUGGGGGAAACCCUGACGCAGCAACGCCGCGUGGAGGAUGAAGUCCUUCGGGACGUAAACUCCUUUCGAUCGGGACGAUUAUGACGGUACCGGAAGAAGAAGCCCCGGCUAACUUCGUG
rnacentral:rRNA from 1 species